AGGAUUAACGCUGGCGGCGUGCCUAACACAUGCAAGUCGAACGAGGUAGCAAUACCUAGUGGCAGACGGGUGAGUAGCGCGUGGUCAACCUACCGUUGAGUGGGGGAUAACUAGCCGAAAGGUUAGCUAAUACCGCAUACGUCUCCGAGGGGCAUCCCUUGGCGAUAAAAAGGAGCAAUCCGCUCGAUGACGGGACCGCGUCCCAUUAGCUAGUUGGUGGGGUAACGGCCUACCAAGGCGUCGAUGGGUAGCUGGUUUGAGAGAGCGACCAGCCACACUGGGACUGAGAUACGGCCCAGACUCCUACGGGAGGCAGCAGUGAGGAAUUUUCCGCAAUGGGCGAAAGCCUGACGGAGCGACGCCGCGUGGGGGAUGAAGCUUCUCGGAGUGUAAACCCCUUUCGACCCGGACGAAUGCCCGCAAGGGUUUGACGGUACGGGUAUAAGAAGCCCGGCUAACUACGCGCCAGCAGCCGC
rnacentral:rRNA from 1 species